AAAAGUUCAGCAGACAGGUGCUCUGCUUUGGAGUGUGACGAUGUCGUCGGUGAUGUGGAGAGUGAAGUUUCCGUUUCACCCACAGCGUGCUUUAGGGCGCCGGGGUCGGACUUGAUGUUUGAAAUACUGAUCGACAGCUCAGAUUUAACUAGUGAAAGUAGCAGUUCCUCCUUAAGGUCAGAGAUUGCAGCAUCUGAGGGCCUCUUCAAAAGAAGACGUAGUUGAUGAAGGCGUUCUGGAGCAGGACCAGAAAGACCACGACCAAGUAGCCUUGAGAUCUUAGGCAGCAUCUCCCUGAGACCAAAGAACUACAGACUCUUCACAACCUCCUCAAACUCUUGGUACAGGACCUCACCAUACGGGUCAAGAAGGUUGCUUUGUAGAACUGUUGCAGAAAACCUCACUAAACCACAUGGAGGGGCCUCAAGAUAGUCAUCCAAAUGAAACCAUACAAAAACCAAACUAGCACAACCCAAACGCUAAAGUCUCCUGCAGCCUACCAGAGAACCUCUGAGAACAGAGAAUCAGCACAGGAACUCUUACCUUCAGGA
ensembl:lncRNA